ensembl:ncRNA K03A11.8 ncRNA
GUAAGUUCAGAAAAUGACUGAUCAAAACCUUCAAAUAGAUUUAAACGCGACGGAAGUGUAUUUUUAAACUCUGAAGGAACUGCAGAUUGCUGUGGCGGUUGGAUCACUUCACUUGGUAAAAUAACAGUAGUAGAUGAAAUCUGCGUAGAUUGCAUUGGGACCACUAACUUCAAAUUGUGAAAAAGUUCUCUCUAGAAGUUUUGAUAUUUGAGAAGUGUCAUCACGAGUAGGAAAAUAGGAGGGAUUUUCACACCAAAUCAUCCACUAACUGUUUGUUAUCCAUUAGAAGA